AGGGCGCACGGUGGAUGCCUUGGCACUAGGAGCCGAAGAAGGACGUGACAAACGACGAAAUGCCUCGGGGAGCUGUAAGUAAGCGACGAUCCGUGGAUAUCCGAAUGGGGGAACCCAACAGGUAGAUGCCUGUUACCCAUAUCUGUUAAGGAUAUGAGGAGGAAGACGCAGUGAACUGAAACAUCUAAGUAGCUGCAGGAAGAGAAAGCAAAAGCGAUUGCCUUAGUAGCGGCGAGCGAAGAGGCAGGAGGGCAAACCGAAGAGUUUACUCUUCGGGGUUGUAGGACUGCAAUGUGGACUCAGAAUUUAUAGAAGAAUGACUUGGGAAAGUCAGCCAAAGAGAGUAAGAGCCUCGUAUUUUAAAUAGAUUCUGUACCUAGCAGUAUCCUGAGUACGGCGGGACACGAGAAAUCCCGUCGGAAUCUGGGAGGACCAUCUCCCAACCCUAAAUACUCCCUAGUGACCGAUAGUGAACCAGUACCGUGAGGGAAAGGUGAAAAGCACCCCGGGAGGGGAGUGAAAUAGAACCUGAAACCGUGUGCCUACAACAAGUUCGAGCCCGUUAAUGGGUGAGAGCGUGCCUUUUGUAGAAUGAACCGGCGAGUUACGUUAUGAUGCGAGGUUAAGUUGAAGAGACGGAGCCGUAGGGAAACCGAGUCUGAAUAGGGCGCAAUAGUAUCAUGACGUAGACCCGAAACCAUGUGACCUACCCAUGAGCAGGUUGAAGGUGCGGUAAAACGCACUGGAGGACCGAACCAGGGCACGUUGAAAAGUGCUUGGAUGACUUGUGGGUAGCGGAGAAAUUCCAAACGAACUUGGAGAUAGCUGGUUCUCUCCGAAAUAGCUUUAGGGCUAGCGUCGACAUCAAGAUUCUUGGAGGUAGAGCACUGUUUGGGUGAGGGGUCCAUCCCGGAUUACCAAUCUCAGAUAAACUCCGAAUGCCAAUGAAUUAUGGUCGGCAGUCAGACUGCGAGUGCUAAGAUCCGUAGUCGAAAGGGAAACAGCCCAGACCACCAGCUAAGGUCCCAAAAUAAUUGUUAAGUGGAAAAGGAUGUGGGGUUGCACAGACAACUAGGAUGUUAGCUUAGAAGCAGCUAUUCAUUCAAAGAGUGCGUAAUAGCUCACUAGUCGAGUGACCCUGCGCCGAAAAUGUACCGGGGCUAAAACAAUUUACCGAAGCUGUGGAUCCCUUAGGGGAUGGUAGGAGAGCGUUCUAUGUGUGGAGAAGGUGUACCGUGAGGAGCGCUGGAACGCAUAGAAGUGAGAAUGCCGGUAUGAGUAGCGAAAGACAGGUGAGAAUCCUGUCCACCGUAAGACUAAGGUUUCCAGGGGAAGGCUCGUCCGCCCUGGGUUAGUCGGGACCUAAGGAGAGACCGAAGGGUGUAUCCGAUGGCCAACAGGUUGAUAUUCCUGUACUAGAGUAUGAAGUGAUGGAGGGACGCAGUAGGCUAACUAAAGCAGACGACUGGAAGAGUCUGUCUAAGCAGUGAGGCGUGGUAUGAGUCAAAUGCUUAUAUCUGUAACGUUGAGCUGUGAUGGGGAGCGAAGUUUAGUAGCGAAGUUAGUGAUGUCACACUGCCAAGAAAAGCUUCUAGCGAUGUAUCAUACUCUACCCGUACCGCAAACCGACACAGGUAGUCGAGGCGAGUAGCCUCAGGUGAGCGAGAGAACUCUCGUUAAGGAACUCGGCAAAAUGACCCCGUAACUUCGGGAGAAGGGGUGCUGAUUUAGGUCAGCCGCAGUGAAUAGGCCCAAGCAACUGUUUAUCAAAAACACAGCUCUCUGCUAAAUCGUAAGAUGAUGUAUAGGGGGUGACGCCUGCCCGGUGCUGGAAGGUUAAGAGGAGUGCUUAGCGGUAACGCGAAGGUAUGAAUUGAAGCCCCAGUAAACGGCGGCCGUAACUAUAACGGUCCUAAGGUAGCGAAAUUCCUUGUCGGGUAAGUUCCGACCCGCACGAAAGGCGUAAUGAUUUGGGCACUGUCUCAACGAGAGACUCGGUGAAAUUUUAGUACCUGUGAAGAUGCAGGUUACCCGCGACAGGACGGAAAGACCCCAUGGAGCUUUACUGCAGUUUGAUAUUGAGUGUCUGUGCCACAUGUACAGGAUAGGUAGGAGCCU
rnacentral:rRNA from 1 species